UACAGAUACUGCAAGCGUUAUUCGGAUUCACUGGGCGUAAAGGGUGCGCAGGCGGCCAAGUGUGUGAGGCGUGAAAGCCCGGGGCUUAACCCCGGAAUUGCACCUCAAACUACUCGGCUAGAGCAUUGGAGAGGGUAGCAGAAUUCAUGGUGUAGCAGUGAAAUGCGUAGAUAUCAUGAGGAAUACCAGAGGCGAAGGCGGCUACCUGGACAAUUGCUGACGCUCAGGCACGAAAGCGUGGGGAGCAAAAGGG
rnacentral:rRNA from 1 species